GACGAACGCUGGCGGCGUGCUUAACACAUGCAAGUCGAACGGAAAGGCCCUGCUCUUGUGGGGUUCUCGAGAGGCGAGCGGGUGAGUAACACGCGAGUAACCUGCACUUGUCUUUCGGAUAACUCCAGGAAACUGGGGCUAAUACCGGGUAUGAUCUCCUGCUGCAUGUGGGUGGUUGGAAAGUUUCGGCGGUUGUGGAUCGAUUCGCGGCUUAUCAGCUGGUUGGUGUGGUAGUGGCUUACAAAGGCUAUGACGGGUAGCCGGCGUGAGAGGGUGACCGGCCACCAUGGGACUGAGGUAGGGCCCAGAAUGCUACGGUAGGCAGCAGUGGGGAAUAUGGCGGAGUGGGCGGAAGCGAGAUGCAGCAACGUCGCGUGCGGGAUGAUGGCCUUCGGGUUGUAAACCGCUUUGGCCGGUGACGAAGAGUGAGUGACGGUAAUGGGUAAGGAAGCAACGGCUAACUACGUG
rnacentral:rRNA from 1 species